GUGGGGAAUAUUGGACAAUGGGCGCAAGCCUGAUCCAGCCAUGCCGCGUGAGUGAUGAAGGCCCUAGGGUUGUAAAGCUCUUUUGUGCGGGAAGAUAAUGACGGUACCGCAAGAAUAAGCCCCGGCUAACUUCGUGCCAGCAGCCGCGGUAAUACGAAGGGGGCUAGCGUUGCUCGGAAUCACUGGGCGUAAAGGGUGCGUAGGCGGGUCUUUAAGUCAGGGGUGAAAUCCUGGAGCUCAACUCCAGAACUGCCUUUGAUACUGAAGAUCUUGAGUUCGGGAGAGGUGAGUGGAACUGCGAGUGUAGAGGUGAAAUUCGUAGAUAUUCGCAAGAACACCAGUGGCGAAGGCGGCUCACUGGCCCGAUACUGACGCUGAGGCACGAAAGCGUGGGGAGCAAACAGGAUUAGAAACCCCGGUAGUCC
rnacentral:rRNA from 1 species